GUCAAUUGUAUGAUAUAUAAAUAGGCAGAGUUCAUCAGUAUCUAAGAUGAGGCACUUUAUAACAAUUACCCCAAAAGGUUAAGUGUACAAAAAUAUUAACUAAAACCCUUGAUAUUAAUCUAAUCUUAUCCUUAAUUUCAGGCAUAAUUAAUCUGACAUGGUCUAUAUUAGGAGUAUUAUAAACUUUUAUUUUUUUGCCCUCUGUCACCAACUUGACCCAAGGCAACAAAGUUGUGAAAUACAUACAAUAUAGACAUCACCAAGACAAGUUACUGUGUUCACAUACAAAUGAACUAAACAUUACCUAAUGACACUUGGGUUCGGGAAAGUGACUACUUAAACAGUAAAACUUCCACAUAAUUUCUGCAUAAUUCACAUAUAAAUACAUUGGUCUCCAAAGGGCAAAUGGUAUUUACCAUAUUUCUAGACAAGAAUGCUCUUAAAUGUAUUAACCAAGUCAUAAUUCUCUUAAAAUACUGAAUUUAACAAACACUCAAAUU